rnacentral:tRNA from 1 species
GGCGGAGUAGCUUAGCCUGGUAUAGUACUGCGCUCAUGACGCAGGGGUCCCGAGUUCAAAUCUCGGCUCCGCCA